rnacentral:rRNA from 1 species
GAUGAACGCUGGCGGCGUGCUUAACACAUGCAAGUCGAACGGGAUCCAAGGGGUGCUUGCACUUUUUGGUGAGAGUGGCGAACGGGUGAGUAACACGUGAGUAACCUGUCCUUUUCUUUGGGAUAAGCAUUCGAAAGGGUGUUUAAUACCUUAUGUUCUGUCUGCCUCGCAUGGGGUGGGUGGGAAAGGCUUUGGCCGGAUUUGGGUGGGCUCGCGGUGUAUCAGCUUGUUGGUGGGGUGAUGGCUUACCAAGGCUUUGACGGGUAGCCGGCCUGAGAGGGUGGUCGGUCACAUUGGGACUGAGAUACGGCCCAGACUCCUGCGGGAGGCAGCAGUGGGGGAUAUUGCACAAUGGGCGAAAGCCUGAUGCAGCGACGCCGCGUGGGGGAUGAAGGCCUUCGGGUUGUAAACUUCUUUUGCUCUGAACAAGGCAUGCCAGUGGGUGUGUUGAGUGUAGGGGUUGAUUAGCGCCGGCUAACUACGUG